GUCCCGUUGGCAAAUGCUGUAGAAGAGCUGUUACGCCAUGUAUCUUCACUGAGAGGUACUGGAGUGGAUUUAAUUAUUGAGAUCGUUAACAGUAUUGCUUCACGUGGUGAUGGGGAACAUGCGGAGUCAUCAGGAAAAUCAAGUGAGACUACUGAAAUGGACACGGACACAGAUAACAGCGAGAGUGUUGCAUCCAGCUCAUUGGUUGAAUCGACUUAUUCUUCUGGGGAAACUAUCAGCG
rnacentral:misc_RNA from 1 species